CCCUUAGAUGUCCGGGGCUGCACGCGCGCUACACUGAAGGAAUCAGCGUGCUAAAACCAUUGUCGAAAGGCAUUGGUAAACCCAUUAAAAUCCUACGUGAUUGGGAUCGGGAAUUGCAAUUAUUUCCCUUGAACGAGGAAUUCCCAGUAAGUGUGGGUCAUAAGCUCGCGUUGAUUACGUCCCUGCCCUUUGUACACACCGCCCGUCGCUGCCCGGGACUGAGCCGUUUCGAGAAAAGCGGGGACUGCUGCUGUCGGGGCUUUCGGGCCUUGGCUUCGGUGGAAAGCGCUUUAAUCGCAGUGGCUUGAACCGGGCAAAAGUCGUAACA
rnacentral:rRNA from 1 species